GUGCAUUCCCGGUCACCCACAUCCUGAAGACGUGUCAGGAAAACCGCAAGCUUAAGCUUCUUCCCCUUACUUCCUUCCUUCCCCCUUUCCUCCCUCCCUCCCUCCCUCCUUCUCUCCCUUCUUUCACAGAAUCAACUCAAGCAUUUCUGUCAUGCUUGCUGUCCUACUCCCUGCAAGUUACAUCCCAGCUGAAGCGUGACCCCCAGAUCACCACAAAUAAUGGGAGCGUGUUCUCUUCUUGAUCAUGUCUCAACUAUUCUUGAAAAGACAAGCACCAACACCUUCCAGAAAUCCUGAGAAAUCACCAGGCAACCAUCCAAGACACAGACGGCAGCAGAGGCCAACUUAACCAUCCACACAGAAUGAAUCUAAAUAUCACAUGAAACUUUCUCUGCAAAUUAAGCGUUCUGAGAAGUCAAGCAACCACUGUCUUCUCCUUUCAUCUUCCGUUUCCUGAUCUUACCAGUGCAUCGGGUCAGGUGGUCAUAUAUGCUUAGCAGAACUGCAGGACACUGGACAUACUAUGGAGGCCUCAGCCUCUUUCUCUCCUGCUCCCUUGCUGUGGAGUAACUUCAUCCAUCACGCUGUCCUAGUGGCUUCUUCAGAUUAUCAAAGUUCCAAUAAUCGUCUCUAGGGGACAUGUCUCUAAAUGCCAUUCAGAAGUUUUAGCAUAAUUUUUAGUUGAUUCUCCCGAAUUUCCGAACACCAUGCACCCCAAACCCACUCAUUUCCCAGUCCUCCCAUAUCCUCCCUCCACCCUUGUAACCCCCAAAAGAAACAUUUUAAAAAUUAAAAAUUAAAAACAUUUCUUACCAUGGAA
rnacentral:lncRNA from 1 species